UGUGUGUGUCUGUCUGUGUGUUGGGGUGCAGAGGGCGCUGCUGUAUCUUCCUGCUGGUCUUCUACUCCACAUAGCCUUGUACUUCUGACUCUCUGGUCCCUAUCCUUCAGGUGCAGUGGUUACUAUAUCUUUCUCUAUGCUUUUUUCCUCUGUUGCCCGGCUGACCUUGAAAUCCUGGGUGUGAGUGGCACUCCUGCCUCAGCCUGGGGUUGUGGGUUCAUGCUCCUGCCAAAGCAUGGCUAUGUGCCUUGUGCCCAGCUCCUAAGUGUCUUAGUCAUUUUUUUUUUUAAUUAGUCAACGAUUACAACCAGGUGAACUGUUUUAGAACUGGGCACAAAUGCGUGGAAUGUUACUGCGGCCAGAGAAUUCCACAAAGUCAGUUGGAAACAAUUUCAUCUCAGAAAGUCACUGAUCUCCUUGGUUACCAGAAGAAGGGUGAAAGCAGACAUACCCAGUCACCUGGAAACGUCCUCAGGAUGGCAACAGUGCGGCAGCUUGGGAGUUACUAUGCAACAGAAGCUGUUUCAAAGUACCUUGGAUGGCUUUUCGGAUCCAGAGACUGCUCUUCCUGGAUUUUCUUCGAUAAGAAAGUAAUAGACAUGGAAGACAGACUAGACUAGAGCACACUCACCUGCCUGAAUAACAAUCUCUCAUCCGUUUCUGCACAUUAUUUGCAUAUGACAUAUGCAUGAUCCAUAGUGGUGGGUUUCAUGAAGGCAUUUACAUACAAGUACAUCAUGUCCUGUGACUAUAAUUGCACACAUGUACAUCACAUUACACUAUUUACACACAUGUAUGCCAUGUGCACUAUUUACACACAUUUACUUUCCUCUUUCUCUCCCUUCACCCUCCUGCUGGUCCCUUUCAUUCGCCUGGACAGUUUUGUUUCUAUUUUAGUGGCAUGUACACAUGAAUGAUUUUAUUGCACAUUAUUAUUCUGACAUGUAUUAAAAAGAAAACUACUUUAAUAUUA
rnacentral:sRNA from 1 species